rnacentral:misc_RNA from 1 species
AGCACCUUGCCGCGACCUCCCCAUGGCUCCUGCGCCCUCUCCUAUCUUUUCCCCUCACACGAAAGCACCACACUGCUGCUGCCGUAUGAUAGAUCUUGGGGCGCUGCUCGAGCCGGGUGCACGUCGCUGGGAGCCAUCGCGUGGCCAUCGCACCACGCCAUCACUCCGAGCUUCAUCAAGUAGUCGGGGCGAGUCACCAAAUCGCCCAGCACUGGUCCGUGGCUCUCACGAACGAGUUUUGCAUCCGUGGCGGAAGAAAUUUCUCAACGGAGCAACGACACACCGCGGGCCACACAUCUUCGUGGACGGAGCGCGUCGCGACACCAUUGUAGAAGAACCCGUUGCUGAGGAUCCUGGUGAGCAGCAGGUUGAAGUAGCUGAGCAGGAGCUCAUUGAAGGAGAAGAGCAGGUGAUUCAGGAGGAGCCACAAGGCGAGGAGUUCGAUCUGAUCUAGGUGGCGUUUCUCAGUUGACAUUGGCGCCGACGAUCCUUAGUUCGUGUUAUAUUUAUCUUUUAUUUUGUAAGACUUCCGCUAUGUAUUAAAUACUCUGAUUAUUGUGACAUUUAUCUCUAUACACUCUGUUAUUAUAUAUGUUGUCU